CCCUUAGAUGUCCUGGGCUGCACGCGCGCUACACUGGUGCGUUCAGCGAGUUUAGCACCUUAACAGAUAUGUUUGGGUAAUCUUCUGAAAACGCACCGUGAUGGGGAUCGAUUAUUGUAAUUAUUAAUCGUCAACGAGGAAUUCCUAGUAAGUGUGAAUCAUCAGUUCGCGCUGAUUACGUCCCUGCCCUUUGUACACACCGUCCGUCGCUGCUACCGAUUGAGUGGUCCGGUGAAUUAUUCGGACCGGUGGACUGUGGGGUAACUCGCGGUCUGCUGGGAAGUCUUGUGAACCUUAUCACUUAGAGGAAGCAGAAGUCGUAACA
rnacentral:rRNA from 1 species